AUCUAAUGUUGCCACUAAGUAAAACAGCCCAGCAGUUGGAAUACAGAGAUGGAUUAGCAAUGAACAACCAAGCUCUAAAAAUAGUGUGUGUGUGUGUGUGUGUGUGUGUGUGUGUGUGUGUGUGUGUGUGUGUGUGUGUGUGUGUGUGUGUGUGUGUGUGUGUG